rnacentral:tRNA from 1 species
GCAGUCGUGGCCGAGUGGUUAAGGCAUUGGACUAGAAAUGUAUUUGAGUCUCCCCGCACAGGUUCGAAUCCCGGAGACUGCG